rfam:Schistosoma mattheei strain Denwood, Zambia genome assembly, scaffold: SMTD_scaffold0015882
GCACUACUGAGGAGUCCCAUACUAGGACGAAACGGCCGUCCAGUAC